UAAAACCUAGAAUCUGGAAGCUGGGUUCUCUUCAUUUUCCUCCGAUUUCACGCGUAUGAAUGUCGUUCUCAUUCCCACUCUCGAAGCUGUGAAACUACCUCUUGCUCCUCCUCUUCGAACUCUCGCUCCGCCUCUUCGAACUCUCGUUUCGCCUCUUCGAUCUCACGGUUCGCAAAUCGAAACCACAAUCCGAUGUUCUCACUCUCACUCCAGCUCGCGUUGUCUCGCCUCUGGUUCAUCCUCUCGCGCCGUCGUCUUCUCGCCUGCACCGCCGUCUUCUCGCCGGUUUCAUCGUCUGCUCGUCCCACGGCCUAUUCAAAUGAAAUCAAACAUGGUGGACUUGCUGUCAAACAGUGAUAAGAUUUUACACAGAUUCUGUUUCUGAAUUACCAAGUUAAGAGAGAGCUGGACUGAUGAAGAACACAACAAGUUUCUAUAAGCUCUUCAGCUGAGCUUCCUCAAAGUACAACAACAAUAAGACAAAUGAUGCUGUUAAGUGAAAGGUGAAGAAGCAGAAUAAAAAAGAAAAAAACUGGAAGUUGAAAGGGAACAUGCACUAGUGAUAAUUUGUUGUGGAUGCAGCCAUAGUUGAAGAUUAAGUGAGUUGUCCUUGUGUUGGAGUUUUGGCUGCUUGUAAUUAUUGCUCAGUCUAUGAAGGUGGAAACUUUACUUGGAAUUCCAGACCACCUGCAGAGAUGAACUUGGUUGAAGAUGAACUUGGUUGAUUGGUUUAAGGAAAUGGUAAUAAGUCAUCACAGCGAUGAGUUAGUCAAGCAGAUAAAUACAUUUUUCUAGGAUUAGUAUAAGGAUUACGAUUUUUAUGUACAUAGUAUCACUUUUUCUUUUCUUUUUUAUAUGGAAUGUUUAUAGAGUUUAAGUGCUAUAAGUAUUUUUUCUUUUUUCAUUUUAUUUGCAUCACGAAGCAAAUUUGUACAAUGAUUAUUGAUUAAUGAAAAAGGUUAUAAAAAUUUCAUUUUGUAAA